UUUGCUGCAGUUGGGCAGCGGCGGGAGGGGGAGGAAGGUACCACUUCCACGAAAAAAGGGGAGGAGGGCAGAGAGGGGGUUGUUGUUUGAGGGCCCUGCCACAAAAGCUCUCCUUGGCCGAUCGGCUUCCUCUCUCUAUAUCCAAAAUCGGGUUCUUGCCUGGCUUCGUUGGGCUAGGGCGGUAUAGAAGGGGGCAGAGGGGAGGAAAGCCCUGCGAUCCCCCCCCGCCAGAUGGAGCUGGUACGGUCCCGCGCGUCCACCUGCAAGGCAGCGGCGGGGAAGCCGCCGGUUCCACCGCUCGGCCUGGGGGGGGGAGAUCCGGAGGGUUUCCCCGGGGCGCUCCCGCUGCGCGAGCGGAGGCGCUCGUUCUCACUGAAAAGUUCCAUUUUUUAGAAGUUACAAUUCCAGAUUAGCCCGAAUUUCAGCGUCCUCCACGUUAAAAGCGCGCUCGGGGAAAGCCGGUCGCUAACCCCCGGAGCCAGGCGCUGCGCGCUCCCCUCACAGCCCUCUGAGGGGGCGGGCGGGGAGCCUGCUGCGGGUCAGCCCAGCGCGAUCGUACUUCAAAAUCCCUCUUAUAACCAAAUAUUUUAACUAGAUUCGUCAGAUGUAAUUUAAAUUGAUUUAGACUGAUGUAGUGAGCUAAACCUGGGCUGUCCUGCCUGCACUGAGAGGAUCCCCAGUGGCUGUUUGGAGGCUGGGGCACGGGUGCUGGUGAGGGAGGUGAGGAGAUCCCUUGGAAAGAAAAUCCUAAAAUGCUUCACGCCUCGUUGCGUUUUUUAAAAAAAGGCUUUUAAAAAAGUUUUUUUAAGAGGCUUUCAAUAAAUAUUCCAACUGACCAGCCACAAGGCGUCAAGACAAUUCAUAUUACCUUAAUGUAUUUUUAGUCUACUAAUUAAAAUGCUUUGGAAGCUUCUAAUUAUCUCUGGGAGCUAUUUUUAAAAGCUCUGAACACUUUAUCUUCUAUGUCACGUGCCUUGGUAUUGAUCAGUUUUUGUCUACUUUGCUAAACAAAAGAGAAGAAGGCGACGUGUCUGGUGAUACCUGCCAUGAUUUUGUUUCUUUUUUUUAAAAAAACAAUAGGUAUUUACUCCACAUCAGAAUCUCCUAAGCACCAGACAUGAGGAAAUACAAUCUCCAAGGUUGUUUGUAGGUGGACGUAACACUGAAUCUUCAAAGGUGUACAUUGCAUUUCACCUGCUAUGAAACACUGAUAUGUUUAUAGUAAGCCAGAUCGGUUCCUGAUCCAACUCACUGUGUGGUUGUACAGCCAGCACUGCAUGAGAAAUGCCAAGGGCAGAAGUGACAGCAGGACCAUACCUUCUGGAAACAGCCCACACUUAAGUUCACUUAAAUUAAAGUCAUGCAAGGAAAUGACCAGAGAAUGAAACUAAAUGUGAAACAGCACAAAUUCUUGGAAGAAAACAUCACACCGCCUGCAAAAGUAUUACAGAUAAGACAUGGGAAGUCUGUUCUACAUAUUUGCUCGUUAGUUGCCAGCUGGGAUAUUGGAUUUGGUUUGGAGCAUUGGACUCAAGAAUCCAAAGAACUCAAGAGUCUGAAGAAAAGCAACAACGAUCAUCUAGGAGUAGAGAAGACAUGACCUGUAAAGAAAGACUGAACCUCCUCAAAAUAAAAGGACUAAAGGAAAAUAAAACCAAAGGUUCCAUAUGUAACAUGUUUUUUGCAAGAAGGAAAGUGAUGAACUAUCUUCUGGGUCUCUGGGUAAUGGAAUAAGAAGUUACGUAGCCUUUAGCAAGAAAGUCUUUGGUUGGAAUUUAGGAGAACUUUCCUGGCUGGUAUCAGGAAUAGUGUGGCCAGCAGGAGCAGGGAGGUGAUCGUACCCCUGUACUCUGUUCUGCUGAGGCCACAGCUCGAGUGCUGUGCUCAGCUUUGGGCCCCUCAGUACCAGAAGGACAUCGAGGCCCUGGAGCGUGUCCAGAGCAAGGCUACGAAGCUGGUGAAGGGCCUGGAGCACAAGUCCUGUGAGGAGCAGCUGAGGGAGCUGGAGGUGUUUGGGCUGGAGAAGAGGAGGCUCAGGGGAGACCGUCAUUGCUCUCUACAGCUACCUAAAAGGAGGCUGUAUUGAGGUGGGAGUUGUUGUCUUCUCCCAAGCAACAGGACAAGAAGAAGUGGCCUCAAGCUGUGCCGGGGAGGUUCAGGUUGGCAAUGAGGAGACAUUUCUGCUCAGAAAGAGCAGUCAGGC